rnacentral:lncRNA from 1 species
ACGUGUUCUGAAUGGCUGUUUUGUGUGGUGGGGGAUAGUUCUUUGCAGAUUCAGAAUCUAGAUGACUACUAACGAGCGUGAAGCGCCUGGUGGUUUUGGAAGUAAGCCUUCCCAGACUUCAGAACCCACGGUCACCUGGUGCCAUCGCAGGACCUGCUGGUCACAUCAGAGCUUCCUGCUGCAAGUGGGGCCGGGAGCCUGGGCCUCUGAUGCCCACAUGGACCCAUCCAGGACUUGGCCCACCCACUGAGCAAACCCAGGCAUCUCUUCCUGGUUUCAACGAGUCAUGCACCCACCUCGAAGACUCCUCCCUCUUUUGUCCUCUCGCGGAGCCCAGUCACAAGAGAGUUCAAAGAAAUCGGCAGGUCAGUCAGUGGGUGGGCAGGUAGAGACUCUCAAGAUUAAUCAGAGAAAUCGCCCACUGAAUGGGUGCUCUUAGGUCUGUGCCAAGGGCUUCUGUAACAAACUGCCCUGACCUGGGGUCUUAAACAACAGAAAUGCAUUUCCUCACAGUCCUGGAGACCAGCCAGUCCAAAGCCAAGGUGUCCACAGGGCCACGCUCUUCCCACAGCCUCUAGGAGAGAACUGGUUCCUUGCUUCUCAUCCAGUUUCUGGAGAUGCUGCCACCCUUGUGGUCCUAGGCUUGGCGACAUGUCCACCCUCGUGGUCCUAGGCUUGGUGACGUGUCCACCCUCAUGGUCCUAGGCUUAGGUAUGUGUUGCUCCACCCUGCGCCUCUGUCUUCACGUCACCUUCCCUUCUCUGCAUCUGUCUCCUUCUCUUUAUGAAGCCUCCUGUCAUUGGAUUUAGAGCCCACCCUAAUCCAGGAAGAUCUCAUCUCAAGAUUCUUAAUUGCAUCUGCAAAGACCCUUUUUCCGAACAAGAUC